CCUACGGGCGGCUGCAGUCGAGAAUCAUUCACAAUGGGGGAAACCCUGAUGGUGCGACGCCGCGUGGGGGAAUGAAGGUCUUCGGAUUGUAAACCCCUGUCAUGUGGGAGCAAAUUAAAAAGAUAGUACCACAAGAGGAAGAGACGGCUAACUCUGUGCCAGCAGCCGCGGUAAUACAGCGGUCUCAAGCGUUGUUCGGAAUCACUGAGCGUAAAGGGUGCGGAGGCUGUUUCGUAAGUCGUGUGUGAAAGGCGCGGGCUCAACCCGCGGACGGCACAUGAUACUGCGAGACUAGAGUAAUGGAGGGGGAACCGGAAUUCUCGGUGUAGCAGUGAAAUGCGUAGAUAUCGAGAGGAACACUCGUUGCGAAGGCGGGUUCCUGGACAUUAACUGACGCUGAGGCACGAAGGCCAGGGGAGCGAAAGGGAUUAGAUACCCGAGUAGUC
rnacentral:rRNA from 1 species